rnacentral:rRNA from 1 species
AGUGAACGCUGGCGGUAGGCCUAACACAUGCAAGUCGAACGGCAGCACAGUAAGAGCUUGCUCUUACGGGUGGCGAGUGGCGGACGGGUGAGGAAUACAUCGGAAUCUACUUUUUCGUGGGGGAUAACGUAGGGAAACUUACGCUAAUACCGCAUACGACCUACGGGUGAAAGCAGGGGAUCUUCGGACCUUGCGCGAUUGAAUGAGCCGAUGUCGGAUUAGCUAGUUGGCGGGGUAAAGGCCCACCAAGGCGACGAUCCGUAGCUGGUCUGAGAGGAUGUUCAGCCACACUGGAACUGAGACACGGCCCAGACUCCUACGGGAGGCAGCAGUGGGGAAUAUUGGACAAUGGGCGCAAGCCUGAUCCAGCCAUACCGCGUGGGUGAAGAAGGCCUUCGGGUUGUAAAGCCCUUUUGUUGGGAAAGAAAAGCAGCAGGUUAAUACCCCGCUGUUCUGACGGUACCCAAAGAAUAAGCACCGGCUAACUUCGUG